rnacentral:rRNA from 1 species
UACGAAGGGAGCUAGCGUUGUUCGGAAUCACUGGGCGUAAAGGGCACGUAGGCGGAUGUGUCAGUCAGGGGUGAAAUCCCGGAGCUCAACUUCGGAACUGCCUUUGAUACUGCACGUCUUGAGUCCGAUAGAGGUGGGUGGAAUUCCUAGUGUAGAGGUGAAAUUCGUAGAUAUUAGGAAGAACACCGGUGGCGAAGGCGGCCCACUGGAUCGGUACUGACGCUGAGGUGCGAAAGCGUGGGGAGCAAACAGG